rnacentral:rRNA from 1 species
CCUACGGGGGGCAGCAGUGGGGAAUUUUGCGCAAUGGGCGAAAGCCUGACGCAGCGACGCCGCGUGUGCGAUGAAGGCCUUUGGGUCGUAAAGCACUGUCAACCGGGACGAAAACUCGGCAGCUAAUACCUGUCGAGCUUGACGGUACCGGUGGAGGAAGCACCGGCUAACUCUGUGCCAGCAGCCGCGGUAAUACAGAGGGUGCAAACGUUGCUCGGAAUUAUUGGGCGUAAAGCGCGUGUAGGCGGUCCGCUAAGUCGACUGUGAAAGCCCAUGGCUCAACCAUGGAAGUGCGGUCGAUACUGGCAGACUGGAGUCCCGGAGAGGGUGGCGGAAUUCCCAGUGUAGAGGUGAAAUUCGUAGAUAUUGGGAGGAACACCGGUGGCGAAGGCGGCCACCUGGACGGGUACUGACGCUGAGACGCGAAAGCGUGGGGAGCA